UCUUGUAUUGAUACUUCAAACACGGCGCCAUUUGGAAACUCUUAGCUCAUCAUUGAUUGUCUCUUCGCCUCUUCGAACAAUCAAAACGAUUUGUGUAUCCAUCGAGUGGCCAGAUAUUUUCCCUUUCUAAGUAGAUUGCAUGUCUUUAUUUUCAAGUUUCCCGCCUUUCAUGUUCUUCCCGUACAAGACGCUGGCUUCUUUGCAUAGACACCCAAGCAUUCAUGCACUGCACAGCUAUACAACAUCCAAUCUUUGCUCUGCGUCCACCUUUUCCUUCUCUCCGCAGCUCCUCUUAUCCCGAAAACACCCAACGUUUAGUGUGUUCAGUACCACAACAUCAAAACUUCGGCCUGCUUCGUCCCUUCACCAGUUCCGCCAUUCAAUCCAUUUCCAAAGUUCAUAAUCAACAAAAUUGUUGUCUUCUUCACCUAUUGCUAGGUAAAGCUUUCAUUGCUCCCUCUCCCACAAACUUGGCCGUUCAAUUCGGUUUCUUUAGUUCAUUAUAAUCAAAUUUGUUGUCUUCUUCUCUUAUUAGCAGGACAAGCUUUCGUAAGCUCGCUUUGUCCUCCUCUGUCCUUCACGAAUUCAGCCGUUUAAUCCAUUUCCAAAGCUCAAAAUCAUCAGCUUUGCAUGGUUCUUCAGUUAUUUUUGCAAGUAAAGUUUUGUUGUUACCCAUGUAUGUGUUUAUGGUUAACGCUUAACCAGAUAGACAUGAUCGUUUAACCUACUGCUGAAUUAGUAGAGGAAGGAAGCUCAAGUUGGAUGAUGAAAUUUGUGUGUGCUAAUAUUGUAAUUUCUUCUCUUAUAUUAUCUGCCACAACCCCUGCCCCUCUCCAUCUCUCCGUUGUAUCUUUGAAAUCUAUGCAUCUAUGCUCGUGUUGGUCUGUUUUCUUGCACCCUAUUCGAUUAUUCCCCUAGUGUCUUUGAUUUAAUGGUUUUUUUUUCAUUUCAGAGUUUUCAAAAUAGAGAGCACCAAAAUCUUUCAUCAAGACAAAAAGAUAGACCACAAAAGACCCAACCUUCUAUACUGCACAUCAUUUCCAUUUCAAAAUAAAUACUCCUCUCUAAGAAUUUUAUGACUUACUUAUCAUAACCAUUAUUAGGAAAACAUUCUUUUAUUUUUUAGAUAAACAAUCAUUCAUGGAUGCUGUAGAGGAUUGAAGAAAGGCCUCAGCUGACCUUUUACUGGAUUUGUUGUUUCUUACGCAGCCUUCUCACAGCUUAGCACCUCUUUUUUGUAUACGCAGACCAGAAUUCUGGAACUGUCUCAUGCAAUUUCACUUCAAUUCGCCCAUGUCAAUAAACUUUGUUUAAGAAUUUUAGUUAACUUAUUAUCCUACACUUUUGAGCAAAGUGUGAGGCAACAUCUAGUUUUAAUCGAAUCUUGAGAUCGACCUUCUCCUCUCUCUCUCUCCCCCCCAUGUUUCUUACAAUCUACUAUGUUCACGGGUUUCUUAGCCCCUUCUCCCCACCUCCCUUUCCCCUCAUUGACGACCUCGGGUCUUCGACAUCGUGUGGGUGUCCGAAGCUUGAGGUGAGCCUACUCAAUAGACACCUCACGCCUCACUCAGCCCCCUCGCCCCACCUCCCUGCCUGCAGUUGGAUAUUUCCAAGAAUUCAAGUCAAUAGUAAUUUAUAUUAGAAGUUGGAGAGGACCCAUUGCAGUGGAUUGAAUUGUAAAUUAUUCCACACAUUGCAUUUGGGAUGAGGGAUAGAGCUCUGACGACCCGUUCUGAAUGAGAUAUAUUAUGCUCAAGCGGUUAAAGCAGUCCUUGAAUAAAUAUGGAGUUGAUUGCAAUGACCUACUCACCGCAUUGAGUUGUACAACCUCAGUAGCAGCUUCUCUCUUAUGACUCAGUAAUUCGUGUAACGAAUAUUGUUCUUAAUUGUACAAUACAUUAGUGAAAUGGUUGUGGCUAACUAUGCGGGGCUAGUCUUGUUGAUCGAUUAUAGGCAAGAAUUGCUUCCUCAGGGCUUCCACAAUAGAUUAAUUUUUGAAGUAUGAGCCUCAAUCCACUCCACCUCAACCAGGAACAUGAUCCACUUGGCUCAGAGGUCCGGAGAAUGGCCAAGUACAAUUAUGGGAGCUUGGGCUUCACAGUGAUGCAUUAGAGGGUGGCAGCGCCCUUGGCCUACAACUUGUCCAACAAUACCUCAGGACCUGCCGAUUUUCAUCAGGUAUAUGGCGAAAGGGAUGCGCUCUUCAACACGCAUGAUGUGCAGACAUAUCUCGAUAGCCUCAAGCUUUAAUGAUGUGGGCAGGCACUCUGUGCAGUGCAUCAAGAGCUAUUUCCAUGCCGACUUCAUCAUGGGCGUAAAUGCCAAGGAUGUCGUGUAUGGUCAAGUCCUCUCUUUCACCAAUUUGCUUUAAUGAGGAAUUUGGUCCAAUGUCCGUUUACAAUC